rnacentral:rRNA from 1 species
AUUGAACGCUGGCGGCAGGCCUAACACAUGCAAGUCGAACGAGUGGCGGACGGGUGAGUAAUGUCUGGGAAACUGCCUGAUGGAGGGGGAUAACUACUGGAAACGGUAGCUAAUACCGCAUACCAUCAGAUGUGCCCAGAUGGGAUUAGCUUGUUGGUGGGGUAACGGCUCACCAAGGCGGCGAUCCCUAGCUGGUCUGAGAGGAUGACCAUCCACAAGGGAACUGAGACACGGUACAGACUCCUACGGGAGGCAGAAGUGGGGAAUAUUGCACAAGGGGAGAGAGCCUGAUGCAGCCAUGCCGCGUGUAUGAAGAAGGCCUGCGGGUUGUAAAGUACUUUCAGCGGGGAGGCGUUACACGCAGAAGAAGCACCGGCUAACUCCGUGCCAGCAGCCGCGGUAAUAC